GGAAAGGAGCCAAGUCCUGGUCUCUGGUCCCCACAUGUGUGCUGUGUCAGUCAUGUGUGUGCAUAUACACAAUUAAAUGUAAUACAAGACCUAAAAUAAACGGUGGGUAAAGAGCAAAUCCUUGUGUUGAUGUGUAAAUUAGAAGAGAGUUUACAUGUGGGAAGGCUGGCUAGCUGGAAGUUUUUGUAGCAAUCUUUGCCAGAGAUGUGUCAGAAUGGUUGGUGACAGUGACAAUGGAGAAGAUGCUGGGUGCAGGCGGCAUUAUGGAAGGACAGUCAAUGCUAGAGCUGAAUUUAAUGUGAUUCCUGACUGUGAGACUAGUUGACUGGGAAAGGGACAGUGCUAUUGAUAGAAUAGAAGCUUCAUUAACAGUCACUUGUCUCACACUGGUACCCAGCAGUUCACUGAGUACAGACUUUGAACAAAUGAUAAAUUUGUUUUUAGAUAAUUGCUAAGACUCUUGGGUUGGGCUACUUCUAACAAAUAGUCUUUGAGUCCUUCAGUGCAGUCUUUUUAGAGAGAUGAGGAAAGGAUAGUUUGUUUUGGAGGUAAUCUCUUAGAAAAUUGGGUCAUGCUUUGAGAAGAUUAGUGUGUAUUUGAUGGAUCCUGAUUAAUCAUUCAUACUCUAUUCCUAAAUAUCAUUUAUAUUUGAGGGAUGUAGAAAUCAUGCUGAUAGAUGGAUAUAGAAGAUAGAGGACUUUAAGGUAAAGGUUGUUGUGUGAGCCCUACUUGGCCACUAACUAGCUAUAUUCAGGAUGAGUUUUGUAAAAGCAUUUUGUGAAUUUUAUAGCAUAGUAGUUAAGUGUUGUCAAAGAAAUUGAUUUGACAAGGACUCAGAUUGGCCUAAAUUUAACCUCACUUGCCACUGUAAGACCCAUGCUUGGGUUAUCCAUUAGUCCUCUGUCGACUCUAUUGAGAACUGACUAUAAUGGCUCUGAGAUCAUAGUGUACAAAGCCAGGAGUGGUUGAAACUCUGGUAGCUAGCUAGCAUGGUGGUGUACACCCCUAAACCCAGAACUUGGUAGGCAGAAGUAAGUGGGUCUUUGAGAGUUUGAUGCCAGGCUUGUCAAUAGAGUGAGUCCCAUGUCCCAAGACAAGGAAGGAAAGAAAGAAGGAAGAUAGAUUACUUAGGUGUCUUUAGAUCUCAGUCCAAUGCACAUUCUGUUUUUCUUGAAACCUACUGCAUUUUUCUAGGCCUAGCUGACUAGCUUGGAAUUUUUGGCUUCCUUCUUCCUCUCAGCCUAUAGCUUACUAAUUAUGGUAUUAUUGCCAUUUCCUACCAUAAUAAGGUAGACUACCUGUUUUCUCAGCCCAUAACAUUCAUUUUUACCCCUUUGUAUAAAAUGUUCUAUCUCCUCUAACCUCAUUAGUCUUUUAUUUCCUUACUGAUUAAUGCCAUCAAAUUCUACCAUACAUCUGUAUUAUUCCUUCUUCACAUAGCAGUUUAAUUCUAUUAUUCUUUGUUUGUGCAAAAGAAUUUAUAUAAAAGCUUAUUUUAAAAUAAACUUUAAAAAACUUGCAAAUAAAUAAAAAUAUUACACACCAAAGUUAACCAGACUCAGAAUUUACAGCUUAACCUAUAUAUAGUUAGAAUUAGCAUUCAAAACAGAAAUUGUGAAGCGCCUUACUGAAUUUAUUAAAUUCUUGCUAAAUGUAUGCACUUAUCCACUAUCAAAACC
rnacentral:lncRNA from 1 species